rnacentral:sRNA from 1 species
CCAAUUCUAGAGAAAAUCCAGCUUACGAACAGCAGACAGAAUCAUUACCAAGGAGAUCUCAGAGAGCAAAGAAAACAACAUCAUGGAUUACAAGUGGCGAUUAUAUAGUAAAUCAACAGGUAUUAACAAAACAACCAGAUUGGAAGAUAAGAGCAGACUACCUUCAGACAUUAGUCUCUAGUGAUGUUUUUCACUCUGAAAAUAGCAAAGAACUAAUAGAAAAGACUCUACUACAGAUCAUUUCUGGUAGACAUUAGUAUUUACAAUUUUACACGAGAUCAGUAUUAACCAGUCAGUUCAAUCAGCUAAAUUAGUGAUAAAGUCUAUAGAAUUACGAAGAGAGAUAUAGUGCGUUUUUAUAGUUUUUAAGAUAUUUUAUUUUCAGUUUUCUUGCAGUCAUGAAGGUUUAAAAGUAAUUCAAAUUACUCGUAGAUAUUUGUUUUGAUAAGUAAUAAAUGACGAGGACGUCAUUUCACAAAGAGGGGAAGCAUGUGAUAGGGUGAUAUUUCAUAUUAAUUAAGUAAUAAUUUCAUUAUCAUGAAAUUAUUAAUUAAUAGUUCUAUAAAUUAUAAGUUUACAGUAUUUACUAUAAAAGUUGUCAAUAUAAACAACUUUAUGUACAACCUAACAGUAUGUAAAUAGCUACAUAGUUAUUUAUAUAGUAUGACAUCACAAUGGUCAUUAUGGUCAGUGUAAACCUGUUUUAGUUAAUUAUAUAUCACAUGGUCAAAUCUAUUUUUGAAUUCUCAAUUUUAUUGGUCCUUUAAAUUCCCUCUCUUUGCUUUGUCCUUUUUGAUCUGAUCUUCAUACUGACCAGAUGUGUUUAGCUUAAGACCAAGAAGAAAUCUAUAGACUGUAAGUAAUUGUUUUAUAUUUUAUGCUAUUUAUAUUAAUGCUUAUUUAUAAAGCAUAUUGUAUUUGCUAGAUAAGUAUAUGCUAUAUAGUGAAAUGUAAAUCUAUUUAAAUGUAAAUUAUCAUGAGUGAAAACUUAGUAUUUGAGCAACACUCAUUAUAGUUAUUUUAACAAUCUUAAGCUAGAUAACCUAAAUGUAGUUUUAAGAGUAUUGUUAUAUGUAUUAGAUUCCAUACCUGAAGAAUAUAUCAGGAUCAUGCAGAUGCAGAUCAAUUAGGCUUUGUGUCACACAUAGGUAUGCAUAUAUAAAUAUCAGAUUUGAUACUUAUUGCCUAAGUUAAGUUUAAUAUGUUUUAUUUAUUAAACAUUAAUAACUAACUAAAUUAUUAAUUACACAGGAUAAAUAUUAUUGAACUCUUUAUAUAUCAGUUAGCACUGUGAUAAGGGGAAUAACUCUUGCUUGUAAACUGUGCUUGGCAAAAUCAUGAAACCUAUUCAAUACAAUGAUAUAUUAUGUGUGAUCUAUUUUAUUUUUAUGAUGAUGUGAUAUUGAUAAAUUACUUAUUGUGAUACAUGUAUUGUUAAAUAUUUCAGAGCUUAUGAUAUAAUAUAAUAUAAAGUAAUAAUCAAGAACCCU